rnacentral:lncRNA from 1 species
GUGAAAAGUUAUGAAAUAAGAUAAAAGCUCAGUGUUUCAGAUGAGCAUCUGGCAUUGACAUACCAGUGAUGAAGAUGAAUCAAUGUAUUCAGCAGUAUGUGGCACUAUGUUAUAAGGGGCUUUACAGGAGACACUGGGACAAACGUGUCAAGACAGUAGUAGUACAUUCACACAAGAUAACAAGGCCCUAGAGCCUUUUCCCUAUAACAGUGAAAUCAACAAUGACUGUGUCAGGAGAGAUCUUUAACUUAUUAUUUAUUACAAGAUAUUCUAAUGUUUAAAGAGCAAUCCAACAUAAAUGAAGAGGAUACAAUUACAUCAUUAUCUUGUGCUUUCAAAGGGCUUUAAGUAUUUAGAAGGUUACGUUUUUCAAGAGAGCAAAGUCAUUUGUGAAGAAUUCUUUCCAUGCUUCAGACAUAAGAAACAGCAUACACAAUACUGGACAUCACAGGACCCUCUCCGGCUGGAUACCAGGCUGUAGAACCACCAGAUGCUUCAGAUGAGAAAGGUUGGAUCUGUUUCACAGGGAAGGGGCUAAACUGUUUCAAGAGGCGACCACGCGCUGGGCACUCUGGACUUUGCAACCUACCAAGUAUCAUCACAAGAGCUAUGAAAGUGAAGAGAGACAUACGUUAUCUAAGAAUCUGAGAGAGAUGACUCAGUCAGCAUCCUCUCUCUUGGUGUACAAUGGUAGGGACAGCUACUGUGUCAUCUGGAGCAUGACAAUGAGAACACAGACACUGGAUCGUCCUGAUAUAGCCUGCAGUCCAUCUGGGCCUCUAGACAUUCAUUUGCAUUUGCAUUCAUGCGCAUCCCCUACUACUCCAACUCCUACACCUUUUGGCAGGAUAUAUCCACACAGCUGGAUUGGAAUCACAAGAUGUUUUUAUUUUUUGCCUCAUUAAACUAGUUUCUCUCAAG